GUUCCUACUAGGGACCUAUUUAAUCUUACUUUCUUGUACUGCUGAAGGAAUAUAAUGCAAAGCUCAAUGCCGUAGGGCCAGGGAAGGAGACAGCGGGAGCCAGAAGAGUCUUUGCUAUUUUUCCUCAAUGAUGGCAGUUGGCCUCUUUUCCACCUUGAUCUGAGAGCAUUAAGGAUUGAACUGUGAUGUUCCUCUCCGGGGAUUAGUAAACAAUAGCCCUUUUUCUCUCUUCUAGUUCCACUAGAUAUAACGCAGAUGGGAGCAGAUGAAAAUGAUAUCCAGCACAGCCUUGAAAACCAGGUCCCGAAGGAAGGAAACAGCCUCAAAGGAAGUUAAUGGAAGCGAGGAACUGCACAAUCCACCUAGGAAAAGGAUGGAAGAGUUUAGGCUAUAAAACCGAGAGAGAAAAUACUUCAUUUGAAGUCUCGUUUUUCUUUGCUGAUGGAUGACGUUCGUGGGAAUUUGAGGGGCUCGGCUCUCCCAGGGCUGGAUGAACAGAGGGUCCACAGUGGUGUAUCAGGUGUCUACUGCUGGUGGUUACCCGCCACCUGGUGGCUGACGAGGACCACUUGCUCAGCGAAUCCGAGUCCAGCUAUUCUCAGCCCACUCAGGAUGGCUCGCGAGCGCAUGCAGUAAGUUGGUGGGUAGAUCAGGUGGAGACUGCGACGGUGGAGAGGAUUUCUCUCACACAUGUCGUGGUUAGCUGAGUUUUAACUGGGGUGAUGAGACCACUGAGUGACAGAUCUCUCACCCCCAGUGGGCUGGCCCAGGCUCGAUCUUGGGACCACAGGGCGAGGUGGUGAGGAUGGGGGAACUGCAGGGCUCUUGAGCUCAAAAAGGGCACAUCUCUUCUGCCACAUUCUAUCCAGCAACGCACAUCACUGGGCUAAGUGAUGCUUUGACUUCUGUUACCUCAAGAUAGAAUGCACUUUCUUUUCCACGGCCCGUGGAACAUUUACCAAAAUUGUCAA